CUUUAUUAGUGUUUACAACGAAUUCAAAUCUCUCGUGUCCAAAGUAAUAACAAGUUUACUAUAACAGGGGUCCUCAGUGCACGAAGGCCAGCCCUCAUCAUCAGGUCUGACUCUAUCGCUUCUUACCAAAUAUGCUAGGGUGGGGUUAGUUUCGUGUCUGCCGGGACACAGAUAAGGGUGCACAGCUGGCCCUCCCGCUAUCUCAGUAUAUGGCUCACGACACCAUGGAGAUCUUCUCCAGGUAACCAAUUUAAAUAAUCUUUUAAUAGCAAAAGAACAACAGCAACGACAAAAAACACGAGUAGUUUGGGAAAGAGGAGCAUUUAAAUAAAUACCCCAACAAAGACAACUAUGGAGAUUUCCAGAUCUGUCUACAAACUAUCUGUAGUGGCUGGACAGACAUAAACAAAUCUCAUUCUUUAAUAAACCAAUUUCUAGGCAAGAGGGCAGAAGUGAAAGGUUUUAGUUGAGUGUGUUUAGUUGGUUUUCUCCCCCAUUAAAGCUACAGAUAAAUCAUGAAAGUUCAUAACAGUAUUUUUAUAUAGUUUUUACACUACACUGCCUGACUUAAAUUCUGCCAAUGUGUGAGAAAGAUACCAUUACUAAGGACAUAUGUACCUACUUAGCAAUGUGGCUUAGCAGAUAAAAUACCACUCAGUGUGUUUAAGAGGCAGAAAUUCUAAUCCAAGGCAUGUUGGCCACUAAUCUAUCUGUUCCUCGCUUUCAUAGUCUUGAAAUCACAGAAUGAGCCAUAUGUAGUUACCUCGCAGAAAUGUGAAUAAACAAAGUACAUGCCUAUCAUGCCCAUUCUCUCUCAUAUAUUAACGCUUUAGUUCAAUCUGACAAAUAUUAAGCACACAUACCACACUGGGUAGUAACAAGACUGAAAAGCUCUCAUUCACAAAUGCACACGCAGUUAUGAAGAAACUGAGAACGCGCCCCAUUAAGAAGCUUUUUGUUUUUUAUUUUACAGAAUGCCUAGCUCUUAAAAUAUAUCAGGGUGUAUGUCAUAGUUUCAGUAUGACUUGGAGACAGGAAAUAACAUACGACAUAACAUCAAUAAACAUAAGACAUCUGUUUAGUUGGGUCACAUUAGAUCCCUCAGAAGUAAAAACAUGGAAAAAAGGAAAAAGAAUAAUCCAAAAUAAGAUCACGAGGUUUCAAAAAUACCAUCUCUAUCACCUGUGUGGACUGUUGCCUUAUGGAAGCUCAUUUUGUCCAGUGAGACAAGCAAAGGCCCUGAGGAGGGGAACCUUUGGGACCUGCCAGCCUGAUCUAUGAUGAACACCCGAAGACCAAGGUGGCUGCAGUGGAG
rnacentral:lncRNA from 1 species